CAGAACUGAACCUGACCUCUGUCUGUGACUCUCAAUUCUCAAUCUCAAGAGUGUCUCUUAGUUUUCGUCGUCAACCUUUACUCUGUCUGUGACUCUUCUUCUUCUUCUUCUCAAAACUCCAACCGCCCCUCUUUCAUCUACACUACACUACACUACAGUCAUUGAUCCUACACUAUAAAAUCAAAACCCUACCCUGAACAUGUCUCUCAACCUUCUACUUGCUCUUCCCCUCAAAUCCCUAGCCGACCUGUCUAAUUUAUCUUCUCCUCAAAACCGUGGCUGCCCUCUGUUCUUUUUCUUCACCUUAGAACCACCGAAUCCACUAGCAAGAUGGAUCGUGAUGGGAUGAUUCCCAAAGGAAAAGACAUUGACUUAGAUGCCCACCUUGAUGAAGUGGCUGAACUUCCUCCGCUAGCUCAACGUCUACAAAAGGAGGACUUCAAUUGUUUGGCAUCACUUUUAGAUGCUUCCGACAAAAGAUGAAGAACAGCCUACAUGCACAUGCAAGAAGUGUGGAAAGGAAUAUAUUGCUGCCGGUGCAUAUGUUGGGUUUAAUUUGAAGCCCCAUUUGGGGGUAUGUCCAAGGAAAUUUCAAGUGCCAUUGAGCAUUCCUAGUUCUACAGUGGCAGAUACAGAAGGUGCACAACCACAAUUGGAAGAGCUCACUGAAGAUAAAACGAGCAUGAAGAACAAUAACGAUGAGCACAAGGAAGACACCUCUUCAAUGGAAACCCUUGAUCCAGGCGACGUUAAUCAGUGAUGUCUUUUACUUUUUCUACUGUUGCACUUGGAUGGUUGGACUUGGAUUUUGCCAUCAAGGAUAUUUUGAUAUAGCAUGUAAUCAUUUUGGGUUUUUAUUAUCUUAAUCUGUUAUGUCUUUUUAGUUUUUUAUAUGGAACUUGGAUAGAGUGUUACAUAAUCUUGGUUAUUUGUUAUGGAACUUU